rnacentral:rRNA from 1 species
AGCAGCCGCGGUAAUUCCAGCUCCAAUAGCGUAUAUUAAAGUUGUUGCAGUUAAAAAGCUCGUAGUUGAAUUUCGGGAUUAGUACGUUGGUCGUGCCUUAGGUACGUACUGGGUGUUACUGGUUCCUACCUUCUGACGAACCAUCAUGUCAUUAAUUUGGUGUGGCGGGGAAUCAGGACUGUUACUUUGAAAAAAUUAGAGUGUUUAAAGCAGGCUCGCGCUUGAAUACAUUAGCAUGGAAUAAUGAAAUAGGACGUUGACCCUAUUUUGUUGGUUUCUAGGAUUGACGUAAUGAUUAAUAGGGAUAGUUGGGGGCAUUAGUAUUCAAUUGUCAGAGGUGAAAUUCUUGGAUUUAUUGAAGACUAACUACUGCGAAAGCAUUUGCCAAGGAUGUUUUCAUUAAUCAAGAACGAAAGUUAGGGGAUCGAAGACGAUCAGAUACCGUCGUAGUCUUAACCAUAAACUAUGCCGACUAGGGAUCGGAUGAUGUUAUUUUUAAUGACUCAUUCGGCGCCUUACG